UGGAUAUUAGUUUAAAUAAUAACAAUUAAGUUGCAUUUAAUAGAUAAUUAUAAAUAUAUAAUUAUAUCUAA
rnacentral:tRNA from 1 species